rnacentral:rRNA from 2 species
CGCGUGGGGGACGAGGUUUUUGGAUCGUAAACCCCUUUUGUCAAGGAAGAAGCUCUGACGGUACUUGACGAAUAAGCCUCGGCUAACUCCGUGCCAGCAGCCGCGGUAAUACGGAGGAGGCAAGCGUUAUCCGGAAUGAUUGGGCGUAAAGCGUCUGUAGGUGGCCAGCUAAGUCUGCUGUUAAAGAUCACAGCUCAACUGUGGGAAGGCAGUGGAAACUGGCAAGCUAGAGGUUGGUAGGGGUAAAGGGAAUUCCCGGUGUAGCGGUGAAAUGCGUAGAUAUCGGGAAGAACACCGGUGGCGAAAGCGCUUUACUGGGCCAGACCUGACACUGAAGGACGAAAGCUAGGGGAGCGAAAGGGAUUAGAUACCCCUGUAGUC